rnacentral:rRNA from 1 species
UACGUAGGGGGCAAGCGUUGUCCGGAAUUACUGGGCGUAAAGCGCGUGUAGGCGGUCCGGUAAGUCCGCUGUGAAAGUCGGGGGCUCAACCCUCGAAUGCCGGUGGAUACUGUCGGGCUUGAGUACGGAAGAGGCGAGUGGAAUUCCUGGUGUAGCGGUGAAAUGCGCAGAUAUCAGGAAGAACACCCGUGGCGAAAGCGGCUCUCUGGAACGGUACUGACGCUGAGACGCGAAAGCGUGGGGAGCGAACAGG